GAAGAGUAUGUGCCCAGGUCACCAUGUUCUGGAGUUCAUCCUCUCAGAGGUCCUUGGUUCUUGUUUCCAAUAACAGGAAAGGUGAAGUCAAAGCAGAGAAGGACGAAAAGACUGAGAACGCUCCAGGCUAACUAUUCAGGCUUUGGAAAUUUACAAGCAAGAGAAAAUAAGGCUUUGUAUGCUUCAGCAUGCGUUGACCUUUCUGGAAAAUUCUAGUGCUGCCAUAAGACUCAGCUCUUUGAAAAUGAACAGCCACCUUUCAGAACAUGACUGAGGUCCGUGGUGCCAUUUGCCAGUAAGUCCUGCCCUUUUGCUGCAUAGAAGCCUGCAUAUCUCAACCCGGAAUGCAAUUGAAUGGAUUAGUUUAGCUUGCUAAACCUUGGUUCACAAGAUUGUGCAUUUGAAUUUUAUAAUAUGGAAAAUUAAUUUCUUAAGUUAUUAGGACAGAAAAUUCAAUAGGAUUAAUUCUCCUGGCUCAAAAAUAAUCAGAGGUCACCAUGGCAACACACAUCAAUGGAGCAAUACACAGUAGAAGAAACAUCUCCCAUGUUUGGCUAUUUAUUCAAGGCCUCUUUCUUCUCUGACCCUGGUGGCAUUUGAAAGGUUGACCAAGGCACCCGGAGCUCUGUUGCUGCUGAGUCUCGGUUCAAGAUCCACCAGGAGAGACAAGAUGAAGCUGACUUGGCAGCUGUCUUGCCCAAGUGAGAUCUCCACAGAGCUGAGCCAGUGCUGCCACCACCUGUUCGAGGCUACGGAACCUGGAGAUCAGUACAUUUCUUCGUAGAGUGGUCCAUAUCGGAGCUGUGUGGCGGUGCACUCAGAGUGGAUGGAGGGGGUCAUGAGUUCAGGGCCAUCCACAGCAACAAAGAUACGUUUCGUCUCAAAAGAAAUGAAAUUUUUAAAAAGAGCAAAAUAAAACAAGUAAUAAAAGCA
rnacentral:sRNA from 1 species